UAGCAAGGGUGUUUCCUCUUCUGCUCUUCCCCAGCACCCUCUGCAGAGCUCUGCCUACAAGGGAGCUGAUUGCCCCAGUUCUGUUUCCCCUAUAAGAUGAGAGCUUUUUUGAGAGUCCGGCUCAUUUCUGCAUCCCCAGCACCUAGCACAGAAUCUGGCAUAUAGCACUAAAGAAAUAUUAGUAGUGAAGGACGGAGUGAGCAAACAAAUGGAGUGGGGGUGCUCAUUACAGAGAUAAUAUUUGAGACGGCCUGUUGUCUAACAUUUACCAGCACACCACAGGGCACAGGACCUGACUCUUUGGAAGGAUUCCCAGAAGAAGGAGAGAAUUAUUGGUGGAAAGAUGCUCCUAUUGAUGCAGAGAGAAGAGCGGGAUUUGUUUUUGGCCACUUCAGGGACAGAGAAGAGAAGCUCAGAGGAAACCCAGCAUCCACAGCACCGUGGGACCUGCACUGUUGUGGGGAUCCUAGAACCCCAGCAUCCCUGUGACAGAGACAGUGCAGACUGUGGCAGAAGCCCCGGCCUGGUCUCCCUCAUCUAUGAGGCCGCGAAUUCUUGCCCUUUGGGCAGAGACUGUGUGCCAGGAACUGAAGAAACAGACUCCAUUUAAAGGCUUUAUCCUAGAUCCCAGCAGAUUCCAUGAAUGUGAGAAACAGCCAAGAUUCAAGAGUUUUUGCUUCAGCGCAUCACCUCCUUAAAGCCAUUCCAGUCCCUAGCGAAUCCUUCGUUUUCUGAGCCAGCAGAUUUGUAAAUUGGAGGAAAGAUGCAACCAAAAAAGGAAGACUCCAGGUAGAGAUGAUGCUACCUGCAGCUAGUGCUCCUGGAUUUGCUGUUAUCCCUAAAGUCCUGCCUGACCUGGGUGCAGUCAAGACCAGGAAUGGAUUCGGCUAGGAAACCAAGGGGGCUCCAAGAGAAGCUGGCCAACUGACCUCCAAACCCUAACAUGUUCAGCAUCUACACUAUAAGGGCGACGAAGUCGAUGACUUGAAUCUCCUCCCCUGAACUGCAGCAACCAACGCUUGGUUAAAUUAGGUAAAUUUGAGUCCUUACUGCCUUCUCUUCUGUUCACAUGCUCUAGAUUAGAGGAAAAAAUUACCAGGACCUUGGAAGACCAAAUUCCAAAAAAGAAAGGACCAUGAGAAAACUAACUAACCCUUCAAUAAGCAAAAGUUGACUGGCCGAAUGGAAGCAAUCUGAAUUGCUUGAAUGAGCUUGCCCAGGGAUGACUUCAAAUCCAGUUUUCUAGAACCUUUGCCUCCAUGGCCUCCUGUGCAUACCUCAAUCUUAGCACUUAGUGUAUUAACUGAAACGGUCUCUAUGUCUUUCAUAUUAGACCAACGAGAUUUCUGAAGGAUGGAGGCCAUUCUGGUUUAAUACCCCAGACUGAACUUAUUUAAUACCCAGUACUGAGCACAAGCUCUUGGGACACUGGAGGCAGAAAACAGACAUUCUUGAACUGCUAAUACGAAUGAUAAAUUGACAUUCUGUGGAAUUCCUGCAUAGGUGAAAUGCACGAAGCUGUAGUAAAUCUAUGAGCUCUUACCUGAAGGGAUGAAAUUUUAGUAAUAAAAAUAAAUGCCUAUGGGGAGAAGAACUACAAGACUUUUCAACAGAAAUAGUCCCAGUUUACCCAGGAAGAUGGGACUCUAAAGAUGAGGAAGGGAAGCCACAUCUGACUACCUUUCUGACUUCCGAAGAGAUACUUUUGAUUUCUAGUACAUAAUAGGUAAACCCCUACAGCAUAAAGAUGCUUUGAUUUCAAACAUGGUUUGUCACAAUCACAGAGAAACUGAAAGGGGAAAGGCUGGGGAGAAGUACAUGUGCAAGGCAAACUCACUAUCCAUCUCCAUGCCUGUCUGUGUCUGUGUCUGUCUGUCUCUCUCUCACACACUCACACACGGAUGAUGCUAAAUGUCUGUCCUAUUCCAAGAUUCUCCUUCCUAGUCAGGUUCUGGUCUACCCUUUCACUGACGAAACAUCAUUCAGAUCCUGACUUUCAGAGUCAGGCUCCCUCUUCAAAGAGGGUUUGCAUGAAAUAACCACAUGUAUUUACAGAGCUAUCAUUACACACCAUCUUCUUGUUCGUGCAGGGCACAGAAAAAGCCACUCAAUCUGAUGCGUGGCCUAUAUUUCAGACUGAUGGGAGCUCAGAGACAAGAAUGCUUGUUUGAUGGUUUGCAGCCCUGGCUGCACAUGAGAAUCACUUGGGGAGAUUAAAAAAAGGAAAUACUAGUGUAGAGUCUUAACCCAAACCAAUUAAAUCAGAACUGCUAGAAGUGAGGUCUUAGCAUUGGUGUUUUCCUUUUUCCUUUUUUUUUUAAGCUCCACAAAGGUUAAUUUUUUUUCAGCAUGAUAAAAGCAAGGGUUUUUUGGGGUUUUUUUAAGUCUUUACUAGAGAUGGAAGAAAAUGUGCUUUAAAACAUUCCACAGAGAGGGAUGGUCUUGAUUAUACAAGAUUGGCAAAAUACUGAUAAUUGUGGAAGCUGCAUGAUGGAUACAUAGGAGUUGAAUACAUUAUGCACUCCACUUUUGUAUGUUUGAAAAAUUCUGUAACAAAAAGUUCUUUUUAUAAAAUCAGCAGAAAUAAAAACUUGUUCUCUUACC